rnacentral:rRNA from 1 species
UACAACAUAGCAUUAAUUCAAUGGAUCCCAUUAGAAAUUUGUAGUUAAACACACUCGAGCUAGAGUAGUAUUGGGAUGGGUGACUUCCCAAGAAGCCCUAGUGUUUUAC